rnacentral:rRNA from 1 species
CAGCCGCCGCGGUAAUACGUAGGUGGCAAGCGUUGUCCGGAAUUAUUGGGCGUAAAGGGCUCGCAGGCGGUUUCUUAAGUCUGAUGUGAAAGCCCCCGGCUCAACCGGGGAGGGUCAUUGGAAACUGGGAAACCUGAGUGCAGAAGAGGAGAGUGGAAUUCCACGUGUAGCGGUGAAAUGCGUAGAGAUAUGGAGGAACACCAGUGGCGAAGGCGACUUUCUGGUCUGUAACUGACGCUGAUGUGCGAAAGCGUGGGGAUCAAACAGGAUUAGAUACCCGGGUAGUCCCUGUCUCUUAUAC